CCCGAUGACGAGCGGUUUCGGGUCUGAGGUGUGAUGACACCAGCUAUCGCCGAGG
rfam:Thermococcus sp. 5-4, complete genome.